rnacentral:rRNA from 1 species
UACGAAGGGUGCUAGCGUUGUUCGGAAUCAUUGGGCGUAAAGCGUGCGUAGGCGGCUUAAUAAGUCAGCUGUGAAAGCCCGGGGCUUAACCCCGGGAUUGCAGUUGAAACUGUUAGGCUAGAGUAUGAAGAGGGAUAGUGGAAUUCCUAGUGUAGGGGUGAAAUCCGUAGAUAUUAGGAGGAACACCGGUGGCGAAAGCGACUAUCUAUGUCAUUACUGACGCUGUUGCACGAAAGCGUGGGGAGCAAACAGG